rnacentral:tRNA from 1 species
UGAAGCGUAGCUCAGUAGGUAGAGCAGGUGGCUGUUAACCGCCUUGUCGCAGGUUCGAGCCCUGCCGUUUCAG